rnacentral:sRNA from 1 species
CCGGGGGCAGGAGGUUCGACUCGAGCGAAGCGAGAGAACGUUGCGUCAGCAACGGACCGCAGGGCGAGCCACAAAGUGGCGAGUCAUCCUCUAUCACCGACCA